rnacentral:rRNA from 1 species
CUAGGUGUGGGUCCCAUUCCCGGGGUCCGUGCCGCAGCUAACGCAUUAAGCGCCCCGCCUGGGAGUACGGCCGCAAGGCUACAACUCAAAGGAAUUGACGGGGGCCCGCACAAGCGGCGGAGCAUGCGGAUUAAUUCGAUGCAACGCGAAGAACCUUACCAAGGCUUGACAUGCACCGGACGACUGCAGAGAUGUGGUUUCCCUUUGUGGCUGGUGCACAGGUGGUGCAUGGUUGUCGUCAGCUCGUGUCGUGAGAUGUUGGGUUAAGUCCCGCAACGAGCGCAACCCUCGUUCUAUGUUGCCAGCGGUUCGGCCGGGGACUCAUAGGAGACUGCCGGGGUCAACUCGGAGGAAGGUGGGGAUGACGUCAAAUCAUCAUGCCCCUUACGUCUUGGGCUUCACGCAUGCUACAAUGGCCGGUACAAAGGGCUGCGAUCCCGUGAGGGGGAGCGAAUCCCAGAAAGCCGGUCUCAGUUCGGAUUGGGGUCUGCAACUCGACCCCAUGAAGUCGGAGUCGCUAGUAAUCGCAGAUCAGCAACGCUGCGGUGAAUACGUUCCCGGGCCUUGUACACACCGCCCGUCAAGUCACGAAAGUCGGUAACACCCGAAGCCGGUGGCCCAACCCUUGUGGGGGGAGCCGUCGAAGGUGGGGCUG